rnacentral:lncRNA from 1 species
AUAAAUGCCAUGCCUGAUGCCCUACAUCCUGACAGUCAUCACAUUAUAAAGAACAUUUGCAAUGAUAGAGAACCAACUUCAUGUGAAGAAGCUAUUGUAUAUACUGCCUGGCAGAAUGAUAUGAAACAGGAAUUUGAAACUUUAUAUGCUACUAACACAUGGGAAUUGGUUCCUUUACCUAAGGAAAAAUAAGAUACUAGGUAUAGAUGGGUGUACAAAGUCAAACAUAGAGCGGAUGGUAAUGUAGAAAGAUACAAAGAAAUGUUAGUUGUUAAAGGAUACACUCAACAGGCUGGUAUAGACUAUACAAAGACUUUCUCUCCAAUGGUCAAGAUGACCACUGUCAGCCUCUCAUUGCCUUACAGAAAAGAAGAAAUGGCAAAUCUCACAACUAGAUGUAAAUAGUGCAUUUCUCCGUGGAGAUUUGCAUGAGGAGGUAAAUAUGCAGACUCCUCCUAGCCUUGAAGUGCACUCUCUAAAGUUACUGUGCAAGCUGAAUAAGUACCUUUAUGGGCUGAAAUAGGCUAGUAGACAAUGGUAUGAUAAGUUAAUUGAGGUAUUAUAUUCAAGAGGGUAUACACACUCCAUGCAUGACUACUGUUUGUUCUACAGAAAACAAAAUUCCUUCAUUGUUUUAAUAGUAAUGUAUAUAGAUGAUGUGUUGCUCACAGGGAUUGAUUCUGAAGAUUUUAAUCAGCUUAAGGCCUUCUUACAUGAAAAGUUCAGAAUCAACGAUUUAGGAAAAUUACAUUACUUCCUAUGUUUGGAAAUUAUUUACAAAUCAGAUGGCAUCAUCAUUUCACAAAGAAAGUUUGUUUUGGACUUAUUAAAGGACUAUGAAUGUCUUCACUAUUCAUCCUUGACUUCUCCGCUUUAUUCCAUGGUUAAACUAAAAGCCAAAGAGGGAACACCAUUGUCUGGCCCCACUUUCUACAAGAAACUGAUUGGAAAAUUGAACUUUCUCACUAAUACUAGGCUAGACAUAGCAUAUGGAGUCCAACAUCUGAGUCGAUUCAUGCAAUGUCCUAGGGAUCCCCACUUACAAGCAGCUUAUCACAUGAUAAGGUACUUGAAGAAAGAACCCACUCUAGACCUAUAUUUCAGCAAUAAGGAUGAUCUUACACUAGCUGCCUAUUGCAAUUCUGAUUGGGAGCCUGCCCUGACUCUAGAAGAUCAGUAUCUAGCUAUGUUGUAUUUUUGCGAGGAAGUCCCAUUAGUUGAAAAUCCAAGAGAAAAGAAAUUAUAUCUCUUUCAGAGGAAAAAUAUAUAGCUCUUAAAAAAGUUGUUGGUGAACUUAUUUUGUUGUCCAGGCUGCUUUAAGAACUUAGUGUGUCAAUUAAUAUGCCAAUGCAUGUGCACUGUGAUAGUCUUUUUGCUCUAAACAUUUCUAAAAACCCUACAAUCCAUAAAAGGACUAAACAUAUUGAGGUGGAUUGUCAGUUUGUGCGUACCAAACUUCAGGAGGGGCUCAUUUUGUUACAUCACAUUGGUAUUGGCCAGCAACUUGUAGUUGUACUCACUAAGGCUCUCACUGGGAUCAAACUCUAUACUUGGCAAGUUGUGUGUGAUUUCCUCACAUCCCUUGAGUACGGUAUUAAGAUUAUAGUAUUGAAUUAGUAAUGUAUAUUAUAUUUAUCCUUGUAAUAGUGUUGAGUCAGCACCUUUAGCUAGUGAUAAGGAUUGCAAUAGGUUAGUUGUAUAUAUAUUGAACUGUGUUGGACUUAUUAGAAAUUAAUGAUCAAAUUUUCAGUUUAGCCGAGUUUAUUCUUCUUCCCUCUCUAUUCGAGAAGCUUAUGUGUCCUCCAUUGGAGGUGAUUCAGAGCUUUCCACACUCUUAAUCUCGAUAAAACUUUUAUUUUUUAAGUUUUCAAUCAACCACAUUAAAGAGAAGCUCGACUUCAGCUAAAAGAGAAUGCAACUUAAAAUUCAAACUUCAUAUCUAGAUUUUUCUUAAUCUCGGCCUUGGAUCUUGAAGAAAAUCAAACAAUGGAGGUUCAAGAUAAGAAAUAUUCAUCAAGUUGACACUUAUCAUUUCGCAUCGAGAGUACGCACCUAACUCAACAAUUCCAACCUCUAUAUUUUUAUAUGAAUUAUUUUCUUUUUGUUGUCCACUAGAACUUCUCCCCAUAAUUAAUUGCGCAAAAUUUUAUUAUCGUAUACAGAACCUAUGAAAGGGUACCAUAAGUUGCGCUUCCAAAGCUCUCACUUGAGUAAUUUUUUCUAAAAUUAAAUCAUCCUUCGAGCAAUAUAGCCGCCUUAAUAUUUUUGCCUUUUUGGUUUUAUUUUCUUUUUCCUCUCUGCAGGAUCAAUUCUAGAGCCAACAUCUUCUUCUAAGUGUUAAUUCAUUUAUGUUCGUAAUUUGAGUCAUUUUAUUUCUAGGAAAAAGAGAUUUAUAAGUAUAAAAUCAAAAACUUUGAAAGCUGAACGUAUGGCCCCAUAUCCACAAGCAGUAAGGAAAUGUCGAAUGAUGAUAAAUCUAGGGCUGUUACAGUCUAACAUAUCCAUUAGAUGAAUGUUUCGAGUAGCACGCAUUGAGGAUAAAUUGAGAGAAGUUUGCUUGAGAUGAUUUGGUCGUGUUUUGCAUCGCCCUAUAUAUGAACCAGUCCAUAAGUGAAACUAUAGUGGGUGAAAUAAAAGGAACAAGAGCGGAGAUGAGGCAUGGGUUUAUGAUUUGAAAAAGAACAAAAGAGCCCCUAUCUUUAUGCUUGUCUGAUGGGUUUGUCACACACAUUUAAGUCAAAUGAAAUGUGCCUACAUUGCUAAUCCGUUACACAUAUGAGUAAUGAAAGAUGCAGAGUAAUGGAGAAUGUAGCGUAGGAAUAGUCGUUAUUAGAGUCAGUUAGAUUAUCUGUCAAGAAGGUAGCUUCAAGGUUAGUAAGGGCAUAUGAGGUGCACGUGUGAGGUGUGAGCCAACACAACUGCCAACUAUAUAAACAUGUAUCUACACUCAUCUAUAAUUGAGCUAAUAUAGAAUUCUAUGUCAAUUCCCUCUCCUCUUCUCUUUUCUCUAUAAGAGUUAGGCCUGAGUUCUCGAUUCCAAUUGAUCAAUUUGACAUGGUAGCAGGUGCUGAAGAACAUGAAGCUUCAAUUUCUACAGCAAUGACAGGAAAUAAGGUCACCUCGUUAGACUAAAAUCACCAGUUGUAUCUCCAAGCUGGAAACGAGACUAGACUAGUCUUAAUUACUCUCAAGCUCACAGGGCCAGAUAAUUACAUGUUGUAGAGUAGAGCAAUAAAAUUGGCUCUUCGAUGAAAAAGCAAACUAGGUUUUAUGGAUGGGACCUGUAGUAAAAGCAUGUAAAUAGGAGAGUUACCAGAGAGUAGGAGAAAUGCAGUGCAUUUGUUCUAUCAUGGAUAGGAAGUACAAUCACAAAUGAGCUAAUGCUUAGUAUUAUAUACGUCUCUAAUGCUAAGAAGGUGUGGAGUGAUUUUUAGGAGUGAUUUGACAGAUCAAAUUUGACUAGGAUAUAACCUUUACGGACAGAGAUUGCCACUUUAAGGCAAGAUACUGAUUCAGUCACUUAUUUACUCUAAGUUGAAAUAUUUUUCGGAUGGGUUGCAUGUUUUAGCUCCCAUUCCCUCUUGUGAUUAUGACGAGUCAUUGCCCUAUGUUGUGAAUUUAAGAUCACGGUGCUUGGUGCAGUUCCUUAUGGGACUUAAUGAAACCUAUAGUAAUAUUAGAAACAAUAUGCUAGCUAGGAGAACAGUAGUAUCGGUAAAUGAAGCCUAUGUGUCACACCUCCUUUUUACACACCUACCCCGAAGGAUAAUGUAAGAGAGAGUUUUUUCAUUUAAAGUGAUAUUAAUUGGAUCGGGAUUAUUUAUUUAUUUAGAGUCGCCACUUGCGAUAGAUUUGGCUUUUGGUGUCCCAAGUCACCGCUUUAUCUUGAAUCCCAAUCCGAGGAAAAAAUUUUCGACUUCCCAAUUGGAGUCUGCAAAUCAUAAAUUCUAACAAAGGAAUUUUGUUUACCCGAGGGAAGGUGUUAGGCACCCCCGAAUCCCGCUGUUCUAGCACGGUUGCUUUAACUAUUAUAAUGGCUAAAUAUCUGAUUUUAAUACAUGUUGUAACUUAUGUACUUUUUUAUCUUUAAACCUCUUUUAUUAUUGCUUUAAAGAGAAUUGCAACGUCGUAAAAACGUGUUUCGAAUCACGUCACAUAAAUGCACUCGCAGUUUUUGACACAUUUCGACUUCGUUGAGAUUUGGAUUUGAGUUACAUAAAUGCGCACCCGAUUUUAUGAAGGUAAUAUUGUUAAGUGACUGCCCUAAAGCGACUAUUGUAUUGCUACCUUGGCGGGAGGUCGUGAAAUUCACUAAAUGGCACGUUCUGAGUUCUAAGGAUUUUAAAAAAAAAAAUAAAACGAGAGCCACGUAUUUGAGAUUUUAUUUGGCAUGGCACACCUCGAUUUCAAUUUUAAAAUUUGCAUCUCAUUGAACCAACUCAAUUUUCCACAAGCCAAUUUAUUAAAAAAAAAAUCAGACAAAAUAUACUUGUAAUCAAAAUUUCAACAGCAGUCAAACCAACAUGAGUACUAACUCCAAUUAAAGUAGGCACAUAACGACAUUGGCCAAUGAGAAUGACUAGGCAUUUUAAAUCAAAAGAAACAGUAAACAUGACGGAAGCUUGCAAAUAAAGCAUUAAACAGAACUUAAAAACAUGCUAAAAACACUUUAUUCAUGCUCAAAUAUACGCAACUAAGAUAUCUAAACAGUGCAUUACGCGAAAGAGUAAAAGAGUGCAAAAGAUGAACCUUCUACUGCUGAAAUUUUCCAACGUUUACAACUAAGAGGAGCUUCAAAAUUGCAAAUCCAAACGAUCUACAUGCGACAACUUCACCGAACCUAGCAACCGGAGUCCACCUCGCCGGAAACGUUGACGACUUUGACGGACGGAGCUCUACUUAAGAGACCAACAACAGUUAAAGAAGCUGAGACCGACAACUUCACCGAACCUUUCCUUGUGGCUUUUUGGAAAUGAAGUCCGCGAAGUGUUUAUGUGGUUUCAGAGAGCUUUUAAUGUUGAGCAGAUACUGUGUUUUAGGAGUGAAAAUGAACUAAACUAGGGCUGGUUUAGGGUGGUGUCAAGAAGGAACGACGUGAGAGCCGGAGGUCGUUGCUUGCUUGUUGCGUUCUUCAAUUGAAGAAGAAGAAAACAAUGGGUUCUUCUCCAAUCCUUUGCGGCUGAUCUGUGUAUUAGAGUCUAGGAUGUAUAGGGGGUGUAUGGAUCUUUAAAUAUGGAGGGGGUCUUGUGUUGUGGAGUUAUUUU